rnacentral:rRNA from 1 species
CGCCUGGGGAGUACGGCCGCAAGGUUAAAACUCAAAUGAAUCGACGGGGGCCCGCACAAGCGGUGGAGCAUGUGGUUUAAUUCGACGCAACGCGAAGAACCUUACCUGGCCUUGACAUGCAGAGAACUUUCCAGAGAUGGAUUGGUGCCUUCGGGAACUCUGACACAGGUGCUGCAUGGCCGUCGUCAGCUCGUGUCGUGAGAUGUUGGGUUAAGUCCCGUAACGAGCGCAACCCCUAUCCCUAGUUGCUAGCAGUUCAGCUGAGAACUCUAGGGAGACUGCCGGUGACAAACCGGAGGAAGGUGGGGAUGACGUCAGGUCAUCAUGGCCCUUACGGCCAGGGCUACACACGUGCUACAAUGGUGCGUACAGAGGGCUGCAAACCCGCGAGGGGGAGCUAAUCUCACAAAACGCAUCGUAGUCCGGAUCGGAGUCUGCAACUCGACUCCGUGAAGUCGGAAUCGCUAGUAAUCGCGAAUCAGAAUGUCGCGGUGAAUACGUUCCCGGGCCUUGUACACACCGCCCGUCACACCAUGGGAGUGGAUUGCACCAGAAGUGGUUAGUCUAACCU